rnacentral:rRNA from 1 species
GUUCAUGACUGGGGUGAAGUCGUAACAAGGUAGCCCUAGGGGAACCUGGGGCUGGAUCACCUCCUUAUACGAUGAU